rnacentral:rRNA from 1 species
CCAGACUCCUACGGGAGGCAGCAGUAGGGAAUCUUUCACAAUGGGCGAAAGCCUGAUGGAGCAACGCCGCGUGCAGGAUGAAGGCCUUCGGGUUGUAAACUGCUUUUAUAAGCGAGAAAUAUGAUGGUAACUUAUGAAUAAGGAUCGGCUAACUACGUGCCAGCAGCCGCGGUAAUACGUAGGUGGCAAGCGUUAUCCGGAUUUACUGGGUGUAAAGGGCGUGUAGGCGGGACUGCAAGUCAGAUGUGAAAACCAUGGGCUCAACCCAUGGCCUGCAUUUGAAACUGUAGUUCUUGAGUGUUGGAGAGGCAGGCGGAAUUCCGUGUGUAGCGGUGAAAUGCGUAGAUAUACGGAGGAACACCAGUGGCGAAGGCGGCCUGCUGGACAAUAACUGACGCUGAGGCGCGAAAGCGUGGGGAGCAAACAGGAUUAGAUACCCCAGUAGA